rnacentral:lncRNA from 1 species
CAGCCUGUUUCACUUGGUUUGUCAAAAUCUGGUGACACCAACCACGCAAACUUCUUGUUGCAUGCCCCAAGUGGAGGAGGAGGGGUAGUAGAAGCAGUCUGGUAGAUGAACUGUAGUUCAUGAGGUGCAUCUAUGAACACAAGCUCAGCGAUGUUCUUUAGUUUCUUUGCUAGUGAUCCAGUCCUCCCUUUGAAGCCAGACGCGUUCUGCCUAAAACCGUGUAGGCAUAAGAUCCUUAGCUUCCUUCUCGUCUCGUCAUCACCUGCAGGGGGAAGUCCCUUUGAGGGAUCAAGACUCAAAGGGACUUGUCCUUUUCCGUGUUUUCGGCACAGCUCACACACAUAAUCAUCUUCUUUAACCUGUAACAACACCACAUCAUAAGUCCAUGGUAACACAAUCCAUGUGAAGUAGAAGAUCCAAUACCUGGCAAUGAUUGCAGACUAAUACAAGCAUCCUGCAUAAUCUGCAACGGCAACGUGGGGAAUAGUCGUCAAAGGUAUUGUUGCAGAGAAGGCAGCAGCCUACUAUAUCCUCUUUUGAGCUCCCAACUGAGAUCCUUCAAUCAUACAUGAAAAAAGUAAGUUACCCCUUGUUCUAGUCAAUCACUGGAGAAAGAAGAAGUUAGAUAUAUAUACCGGUGAUCAAACACAAAGUUCUUCCCUUUGAAGAACCCUCCACUAGGAAACUGUUCAAGGUAUCUCUGUAUGCCACCAUAGAGCUAUUUCAAGAAACAAAUAAUAGUCAGACAAGUUCAGUGACUUGUUGUGUAUCAAAACCAUUUGCUAACCUGAAAUGUAUUCUCAAACCCUGCGCCUUUAGAUCUGAUAUAUGCAGAUGCCAUUUCACACCUGAUUCCACCAGUGCAGUACCUGAUUUUAUUGCCCAACACAUUAGAGCUUCUUUAAUGAACAAAAAACGUAUCUAUGUAUAUGUUCAUUGAACUAUUAAUUCAUACAUGAGAACGUUUUUGCCCUUCAGUUUCUCUGCGUUCUGAUCAAUCCAAGUUGGCAAGUCGCUGUACUGCCUGAUCUCAGGAUCAAGGGUCUCAACAUUCUCUGAUUCGAAUUUUCCAAUCCGUGUCUCGUACAGGUUCCUAGCGUCUAGUAAAACAAGCUCCUCGGAUUCAUCAGGUUGUUCUUCUGAGUUUGAAUCAAAACAUAAUCAGAUGAGACUCACAAAAUCACAAUAUAGCAGCAGAAAGAUCUUACUGGCACUCUCCAGGACAGAAUGAAACUCAGCAGCAGAGAGAUGCUUUCCAGCGUUUGAAAUGUCUGGUGAUUUCAAGAGAGGGCAAGUACUAAAGGUCACUAACUCCUGCAAAACCAAGCACAAUGCCACACACAGUCAUGUCAAAAAAUGCUAGAAAAGGCUUGGUUUUGAAUAAGAGAAGAAGGCAAAGAACCUCAACAACACGGAUGGAGAGAGAUGUAAACCCACACUCUUGAGAAACUUUGUCGUUCAAGGGAUGAUGGCUAGAUGCAAGCUUGAAGUCAGUUCCUUCGAACAAACAAUUCGACUUUGCGGAAGCAAUAUGUUCCUCCAACGCAGCUAAUUUCCCACCAACCUAUACCAAAACACAAACUUUUAAUGUUAUUACAAGCCUAUAAACAGAACUCUAUCAAAAAGCUUCAAACUUUGGUUCAUAUGGAUUGGAUCUUGCAAUCAAACCCAACUAGCUCUCAACUCAGAAACUCAAAAAGAGUUUGACUUUAUUGUCUUUCACUCCUCUAGAGACAUAAAGGUUUAGCCUUUUUGAUUUUUAAUUCAUGGGUUUAAUAAAUAAAACAUCGGAUAUGAAGAGAAGGAGAUUAGAAGCAUACGGUGACAUUGACGCCGUGAGUUGAGAGUCUGACUCGGCCGAGUAAACCGAGCGAGUUGCAGCUAGAUUCAUAAAAGGAAACGAGCUCGUCUACAUCAGGAACAGUGGUGUACUUGUAGUACAGCAACACCCCGUAUUGCUCUUUAUCUUCAAUCCUCUGCUUCUCGCCAUCGCCACCACACGAGCUCGUUCUUCCCAUUAGGGGUUUUCAGUUCAGGCUCGGGAAGUCGCGAUGGAACCAGGAAGAAGUCAUUUGCUUGCGGUUAAGAAAACCGGAUCCAAUUAAACCGGAAUAUACUUAAACCGAAAUUUGUAUAUUAAACCAUUUCAGCCUUGAACUUAUAUUUUGCCUUGAAUUGAACCUAUGUAGAUGUUUAUAUUGUUCAGGAUUCUUUCAAGAUGCUCAUCUCCAAUAGUCCAUCGCACAACAGUAAGCUAGCUUGAGUCACAAUCUGUCUGUCUUUUCCAGGCUGGCUUCCAAAAAUGUGAAGUGAAGGGCACUUGAUAGAACCUUGCUCUCUCUUCUCCAACAGUGGCCACGGUGUGAAACCCGAGCACAACACGCAGAAUCUGAAGUCUAUUUCACCUAAGAGCUGCUCUUGUUUCCCGCACACAGCUGCAGCCAUUGCUGCACCUUGAGAGAAUCCAAGAAUGCCAUCAAAAGGGCCUCUCUCUGCAAACACCGUCUUCAAAUAUGUCAACGAUUUGUCAAACCCUUCCGUUUGAUUCUGAUACUGCAAUGGAUCAAACUGGCAUUGGGUCCAGCCUGUUUCACUUGGUUUGUCAAAAUCUGGUGACACCAACCACGCAAACUUCUUGUUGCAUGCCCCAAGUGGAGGAGGAGGGGUAGUAGAAGCAGUCUGGUAGAUGAACUGUAGUUCAUGAGGUGCAUCUAUGAACACAAGCUCAGCGAUGUUCUUUAGUUUCUUUGCUAGUGAUCCAGUCCUCCCUUUGAAGCCAGACGCGUUCUGCCUAAAACCGUGUAGGCAUAAGAUCCUUAGCUUCCUUCUC